CCACUUUUGGGAGCUUGUUCGAGCUGUCAUAGAGUGGUUUAAAUGUAUAGCAAAAAAGUGUAUACAAUUUAGACAUUUCCAGAGAAAACCAUUUUUCAACAGAAGUGUUUAAAUUUUAUUCACUAUUGGCUGAAAAAAAACUUGACAACAAUCAUUUUUAGAAAACGCGGCAGCCAUCAUUGAUCAACUUUUUCGCAGAGUUCGGUGAGAACUACCAGAAGACGUGGGAAUCAGGAAUUGCUACUUCCUUCGCAAUCGAGUGGCGGACCGAAAAUGAAGUUUUUUUUUCCGAAAAGCAAUCACUAAAAUGACCUUUCCCAACAUGAUUUCCGGUUCAUUACAGUCUUUCCCAAGCACAGGCUGAAAUGGUUUUACAACAUCAUCGGCAUGGCAAGGUAUCAUCGCGGAUGGACCACUGGCGGAGCACCGACCGAUACAAUCAACAAGACUUCGUCUACACCCGCCGCGGGUUUGGCUGACUGCGGGAUCAUCUGUGAUACAGAGCAUGAUCCAUUUCAUCGAUAUACUGCAGAACGUCGUGGCGCAAAUAGUUCCGGCCAAUGGAAAUCAUGUGUGGCCCACGAUCA